GGCAAAUUAAACACUCGGCUAUUUAUCAAGCUUCAGAAAAUCCAAAUUUUCUCAGGAUUUCCCCCCCAAACCAUGCAAUGCAGUAGUAUAUUAUUAUCAAUGUUUUGGAACAAUUUUCGUACAUUUAUCGUGCAUUUUUUUGUCGCUAGUUUUCACCUGUCUUGUCAUUUUCAGGUAAUUUUCUCCAUCGCACCUGUCUCACUAUUUAUUUAUCAUAAUAUAACAUUUCCUCAUUGUCAUCAAUAAAUUGAUCAUUAACACCAUUUGCAGGUUGUAUUUUUGCGCUAACAUUCGCCAGGAACAAACCAAGUAUUUUCUUUUAUUGUUACAUUAAUGAAGUUAGCAUGGUUCAUUUCAGGCUGUUAGUAAAUGACUCUAAAUGGGACAAGAAUAUCCAUGCAAUUUGUUGUGUUAUUUUUUAUUGUACAUAUAAUAGUUAACUUUGAUCUUUUAAUUGCCAUGUUAUUAAACAAUUGUUGU
rnacentral:misc_RNA from 1 species